rnacentral:rRNA from 1 species
UGGGGAAUUUUGGACAAUGGGCGAAAGCCUGAUCCAGCAAUGCCGCGUGUGUGAAGAAGGCCUUCGGGUUGUAAAGCACUUUUGUCCGGAAAGAAAUCCUUGGCUCUAAUACAGUCGGGGGAUGACGGUACCGGAAGAAUAAGCACCGGCUAACUACGUGCCAGCAGCCGCGGUAAUACGUAGGGUGCAAGCGUUAAUCGGAAUUACUGGGCGUAAAGCGUGCGCAGGCGGUUUGCUAAGACCGAUGUGAAAUCCCCGGGCUCAACCUGGGAACUGCAUUGGUGACUGGCAGGCUAGAGUAUGGCAGAGGGGGGUAGAAUUCCACGUGUAGCAGUGAAAUGCGUAGAGAUGUGGAGGAAUACCGAUGGCGAAGGCAGCCCCCUGGGCCAAUACUGACGCUCAUGCACGAAAAGCGUGGGGGAGCAAAACAGGAUUAGAUACCCUGGUAGUCCACGCCCUAAAACGAUGUCAACUAGUUGUUGGGGAUUCAUUUCCUUAGUAACGUAGCUAACGCGUGAAGUUGACCGCCUGGGGAGUACGGUCGCAAGAUUAAAACUCAAAUGAAUUGACGGGGUCAUAGCUG